CAAAACACACUCAACUCUCAAUAAAUAACAAUCAUAAUCUUCCAAUCAUAAUCAAUCGUCCUAUAACUUCUCAUAUAAUUCAAUCACAUAAUACUCCAAUUACAUAAUCAAUAAUCCAUAAAUCAAUCUUUCAUUUAUUCUAUAGACUCACUUCUCAAUAUUCAAAAACUAUUCAUUACUCUUCAACAACAAAGAAAACAAAGAAAACAAAGAGGUAGCACCAAGCUUAAUUCCAGCUCAUGACUAUCACAGUCUGGCACCCCAACAAACUUCUACAACUCCUAUAUAAUUACUACUGGUUUCCAGAUCCUAACCAUAAUCCUAUAAUAACCACUUUUAAUAACUAAAUUAACCAUCCAUCCUUCUGAACUGACUAUUCUAUGGACUAUUAAUCUAUUUUACCAAUAUCUUAC
rnacentral:lncRNA from 1 species